rnacentral:rRNA from 1 species
AUUGAACGCUGGCGGCAGGCCUAACACAUGCAAGUCGAGCGAGUGGCGGACGGGUGAGUAAUGUCUGGGAAACUUCCUGCUUGCAGGGGAUAACUACUGGAAACCGUAGCUAAUACCUCAUACCAUCAGGUGUGCCCAUAUGGGAUUGGUUUGUUGGUGUGGUAAAUGCUCACCAAGGCGACGAUCCCUGGCUUGUCUGAGAUGAUGACCAGACAAACUUGAACGGAGAAACGGUCCAGAAUCCUACGGGAGGUAGCAGUGGGUAAUAUUGGAAAAUUGGCGCAAGCCUGAUGCAGCCAUGCCGCGUGUAUGAAGAAGGCCUUCGGUUUGUAAAGUACUUUCAGCGGGGAGGCGUUACCCGCAGAAGAAGCACCGGCUAACUCCGUGCCAGCAGCCGCGGUAAUUC